GACGAACGCUGGCGGCGUGCUUAACACAUGCAAGUCGAACGGAAAGGCCCCUUUGGGGGUACUCGAGUGGCGAACGGGUGAGUAACACGUGAGUAACCUGCCCUUGACUUCGGGAUAACUUCAGGAAACUGGGGCUAAUACCGGAUCGGAAUCCUUGCUGCAUGGUGGGGGUUGGAAAGCUUCGGCGGUUUUGGAUGGACUCGCGGCUUAUCAGCUUGUUGGUGGGGUAGUGGCUUAACAAGGCUUUGUCGGGUAGCCGGCCUGAGAGGGCGACCGGCCACAUUGGGACUGAGAUACGGCCCAGACUCCUACGGGAGGCAGCAGUGGGGAAUAUUGCACAAUGGGCGGAAGCCGGAUGCAGCAACGCCGCGGGCGGGAUGACGGUCUUCGGGUUGUAAACCGCUUUCAGCAGGGGCGAAGCUUGUGGUGACGGUACCUGCAGAAGAAGCACCGGCUAACUACGUG
rnacentral:rRNA from 1 species